GCCGAAGUGGCGGAACUGGCAGACGCGCCAGCUUCAGGAGCUGGUUCCCGUUAGGGAGUGGAGGUUCGAGUCCUCUCUUCGGCA
rnacentral:tRNA from 1 species